rnacentral:rRNA from 1 species
UUACGGGUGGCAGCAGUGGGGAAUAUUGGACAAUGGGCGAAAGCCUGAUCCAGCCAUGCCGCGUGUGUGAAGAAGGCCUUCGGGUUGUAAAGCACUUUCAGUGGGGAAGAAAGCCUUGGGGCUAAUACCCUCGAGGAAGGACAUCACCCACAGAAGAAGCACCGGCUAACUCCGUGCCAGCAGCCGCGGUAAUACGGAGGGUGCGAGCGUUAAUCGGAAUUACUGGGCGUAAAGCGCGCGUAGGCGGUCUGAUAAGCCGGUUGUGAAAGCCCCGGGCUCAACCUGGGAACGGCAUCCGGAACUGUCAGGCUAGAGUGCAGGAGAGGAAGGUAGAAUUCCCGGUGUAGCGGUGAAAUGCGUAGAGAUCGGGAGGAAUACCAGUGGCGAAGGCGGCCUUCUGGACUGACACUGACGCUGAGGUGCGAAAGCGUGGGUAGCAAACAGGAUUAGAUACCCCGGUAUC